rnacentral:tRNA from 2 species
UUCUGGUCGGCCCAGUUGGUAGAGCGCUCAAUUAGAAAUGAAGAGGUCCCUGGUUCGAUACCAGGACCAGGUG